rnacentral:rRNA from 1 species
AGAGUUUGAUCCUGGCUCAGGAUGAACGCUAGCUACAGGCUUAACACAUGCAAGUCGAGGGGCAGCAUCAUCAAAGCUUGCUUUGAUGGAUGGCGACCGGCGCACGGGUGAGUAACACGUAUCCAACCUGCCGACAACACUGGGAUAGCCUUUCGAAAGAAAGAUUAAUACCGGAUGGCAUAAUUAUUCCGCAUGGGAUAAUUAUUAAAGAAUUUCGGUUGUCGAUGGGGAUGCGUUCCAUUAGGCAGUUGGCGGGGUAACGGCCCACCAAACCUACGAUGGAUAGGGGUUCUGAGAGGAAGGUCCCCCACAUUGGAACUGAGACACGGUCCAAACUCCUACGGGAGGCAGCAGUGAGGAAUAUUGGUCAAUGGACGAGAGUCUGAACCAGCCAAGUAGCGUGAAGGAUGACUGCCCUAUGGGUUGUAAACUUCUUUUAUACGGGAAUAAAGUGAGCCACGUGUGGCUUUUUGUAUGUACCGUAUGAAUAAGGAUCGGCUAACUCCGUGCCAGCAGCCGCGGUAAUACGGAGGAUCCGAGCGUUAUCCGGAUUUAUUGGGUUUAAAGGGAGCGUAGGCGGGUUGUUAAGUCAGUUGUGAAAGUUUGCGGCUCAACCGUAAAAUUGCAGUUGAUACUGGCGACCUUGAGUGCAACAGAGGUAGGCGGAAUUCGUGGUGUAGCGGUGAAAUGCUUAGAUAUCACGAAGAACUCCGAUUGCGAAGGCAGCUUACUGGAUUGUAACUGACGCUGAUGCUCGAAAGUGUGGGUAUCAAACAGGAUUAGAUACCCUGGUAGUCCACACAGUAAACGAUGAAUACUCGCUGUUGGCGAUAUACAGUCAGCGGCCAAGCGAAAGCAUUAAGUAUUCCACCUGGGGAGUACGCCGGCAACGGUGAAACUCAAAGGAAUUGACGGGGGCCCGCACAAGCGGAGGAACAUGUGGUUUAAUUCGAUGAUACGCGAGGAACCUUACCCGGGCUUAAAUUGCAACUGACGGAACCGGAAACGGUUCUUUCUUCGGACAGUUGUGAAGGUGCUGCAUGGUUGUCGUCAGCUCGUGCCGUGAGGUGUCGGCUUAAGUGCCAUAACGAGCGCAACCCUUACGGGUAGUUACCAUCAGGUUAUGCUGGGGACUCUACCCGGACUGCCGUCGUAAGAUGUGAGGAAGGUGGGGAUGACGUCAAAUCAGCACGGCCCUUACGUCCGGGGCUACACACGUGUUACAAUGGGGGGUACAGAAGGCAGCUACACGGCGACGUGGUGCUAAUCCCAAAAGCCUCUCUCAGUUCGGAUUGGAGUCUGCAACCCGACUCCAUGAAGCUGGAUUCGCUAGUAAUCGCGCAUCAGCCACGGCGCGGUGAAUACGUUCCCGGGCCUUGUACACACCGCCCGUCAAGCCAUGAAAGCCGGGGGUACCUGAAGUACGUAACCGCGAGGAGCGUCCUAGGGUAAAACUGGUGAUUGGGGCUAAGUCGUAACAAGGUAGCCGUACCGGAAGGUGUGGCUG